GACAGAGGGUGCAAACGUUGCUCGGAAUCACUGGGCGUAAAGGGCGUGUAGGCGGGAAGGAAAGUCGGGCGUGAAAUCCCUGGGCUCAACCCCAGGAACUGCACUCGAAACUUCUUCUCUUGAGUGCCGGAGAGGAAAGCGGAAUACCUGGUGUAGAGGUGAAAUUCGUAGAUAUCAGGUGGAACACCAGUGGCGAAGGCGGCUUUCUGGACGGUAACUGACGCUGGAGACGCGAAAGCCGUGGGGAGCAAACAGG
rnacentral:rRNA from 1 species